GCCGGGAUGGCGGAAUGGCAGACGCAUCGGACUUAAAAUCCGAUGUCCUGCAAGGGACGUGCCGGUUCAAGUCCGGCUCCCGGCA
rnacentral:tRNA from 1 species